rnacentral:lncRNA from 1 species
AUAGUUUCAUUUAUUUUGAAUAGGUAUCUAGAAGGAGAUUUCUUUUUAUUUUUUUUUUAACUGGUUUCAUUCACUUUAUUAUUCCCUUUAUAAAAUUAUGUGGUGGCUACAGCUGGGGCCUGUGUCCUCUGCACGGAGACUCUGGUGUGGGUCUUCACAAGAUGGUCAGUGAAUUCCUGAUAUGGAGACUUGGUGAACACUGUCUCUUUCCAGAGGUCAGGGGUGAGGUAACUAUAGGUCUUGGAAAUGGCAUCAAAAGUGGCCUUGGCAAAGUUGCCCAGGGUGGCAGUGCCUCUGGGGGCAGGGAUGAGGCGCACCAGCACAGAACCGCAGCGGCCAGUCACCUUGCAAGGAACCGUGUGGGGCUUGCCGAUCUUGUUCCCCCAGUAGCCUCUUCGCACAGGGAUGAUGGACAACUUAGCCAGGAUGAUGGCCCCACGGAUGGCAGUGGCUACUUCCUUAGAAAGGAGAUUUCUUGAACACAUGGUACUUCUAUGUUUGAUUUUUGGAGGAAAUUUUAUAUUCUUUUCCAUGGU